UACGGAGGGGGCAAGCGUUAUUCGGAAUUAUUGGGCGUAAAGGGCGCGUAGGCGGCUAGAUGUGUCAAAGGUGAAAUCCCUCGGCUCAACUGAGGAACUGCCUUUGAAACUGUCUGGCUUGAGGCCGGGAGAGGGUAGCGGAAUUCCCAGUGUAGCGGUGAAAUGCGUAGAUAUUGGGAGGAACACCAGUGGCGAAGGCGGCUACCUGGACGACAACUGACGCUGAGACGCGAAAGCGUGGGGAGCAAACAGG
rnacentral:rRNA from 1 species